rnacentral:rRNA from 1 species
GAUGAACGCUGGCGGCGUGCCUAAUACAUGCAAGUCGAGCGAACGGACGAGAAGCUUGCUUCUCUGAUGUUAGCGGCGGACGGGUGAGUAACACGUGGAUAACCUACCUAUAAGACUGGNGAUAANNCUUCGGGAAACCGGAGCUAAUACCGGAUAAUAUUUUGAACCGCAUGGUUCAAAAGUGAAAGACGGUCUUGCUGUCACUUAUAGAUGGAUCCGCGCUGCAUUAGCUAGUUGGUAAGGUAACGGCUUACCAAGGCAACGAUGCAUAGCCGACCUGAGAGGGUGAUCGGCCACACUGGAACUGAGACACGGUCCAGACUCCUACGGGAGGCAGCAGUAGGGAAUCUUCCGCAAUGGGCGAAAGCCUGACGGAGCAACGCCGCGUGAGUGAUGAAGGUCUUCGGAUCGUAAAACUCUGUUAUUAGGGAAGAACAUAUGUGUAAGUAACUGUGCACAUCUUGACGGUACCUAAUCAGAAAGCCACGGCUAACUACGUGCCAGCAGCCGCGGUAAUACGUAGGUGGGCAGCGUUAUCCGGAAAUAUUGGGCGUAAAGCGCGCGUAGGCGGUUUUUUAGUCUGAUGUGAAAGCCCACGGCUCAACCGUGGAGGGUCAUUGGAAACUGGAAAACUUGAGUGCAGAAGAGGAAAGUGGAAUUCCAUGUGUAGCGGUGAAAUGCGCAGAGAUAUGGAGGAACACCAGUGGCGAAGGCGACUUUCUGGUCUGUAACUGACGCUGAUGUGCGAAAGCGUGGGGAUCAAACAGGAUUAGAUACCCUGGUAGUCCACGCCGUAAACGAUGAGUGCUAAGUGUUAGGGGGUUUCCGCCCCUUAGUGCUGCAGCUAACGCAUUAAGUACUCCGCCUGGGGAGUACGACCGCAAGGUUGAAACUCAAAGGAAUUGACGGGGACCCGCACAAGCGGUGGAGCAUGUGGUUUAAUUCGAAGCAACGCGAAGAACCUUACCAAAUCUUGACAUCCUUUGACAACUCUAGAGAUAGAGCCUUCCCCUUCGGGGGACAAAGUGACAGGUGGUGCAUGGUUGUCGUCAGCUCGUGUCGUGAGAUGUUGGGUUAAGUCCCGCAACGAGCGCAACCCUUAAGCUUAGUUGCCAUCAUUAAGCUGGGCACUCUAAGUUGACUGCCGGUGACAAACCGGAGGAAGGUGGGGAUGACGUCAAAUCAUCAUGCCCCUUAUGAUUUGGGCUACACACGUGCUACAAUGGACAAUACAAAGGGCAGCGAAACCGCGAGGUCAAGCAAAUCCCAUAAAGUUGUUCUCAGUUCGGAUUGUAGUCUGCAACUCGACUACAUGAAGCUGGAAUCGCUAGUAAUCGUAGAUCAGCAUGCUACGGUGAAUACGUUCCCGGGUCU